GAUGAACGCUGGCGGCGUGCCUAAUACAUGCCAGUCGAGCGAACAGACGAGGAGCUUGCUCCUCUGACGUUAGCGGCGGACGGGUGAGUAACACGUGGAUAACCUACCUAUAAGACUGGGAUAACUUCGGGAAACCGGAGCUAAUACCGGAUAAUAUAUUGAACCGCAUGGUUCAAUAGUGAAAGACGGUUUUGCUGUCACUUAUAGAUGGAUCCGCGCCGCAUUAGCUAGUUGGUAAGGUAACGGCUUACCAAGGCAACGAUGCGUAGCCGACCUGAGAGGGUGAUCGGCCACACUGGAACUGAGACACGGUCCAGACUCCUACGGGGGGCAGCAGUAGGGAAUCUUCCGCAAUGGGCGAAAGCUUGACGGAGCAACGCCGCGUGAGUGAUGAAGGUCUUCGGAUCGUAAAACUCUGUUAUUAGGGAAGAACAAAUGUGUAAGUAACUAUGCACGUCUUGACGGUACCUAAUCAGAAAGCCACGGCUAACUACGUG
rnacentral:rRNA from 1 species